AUGCUGAAAUCCCAAACUCCCCAAAAAGCUAAAAGGAAGGGCUUUUAUUGGGGGUUUUAGGUAGGGGAGGGGAGCAUAUAGCCUUGCUGGUUGGAGCUUUCCCACCAGCCUGUCUUUGGCCUUGAGACACCUGCAGAGAGGAGGGAGGCCGUGACCUUGCUGGUCAGCAGCUUUCCCACGAGCCUGUAUCUCUUUGCAGAGAGGAGACAAUCCAGGUGCUUGUCCUUGGCGGUGUCUGUCUCCGUGGAGGAUAGUGGAUUCUGGAGCCAGGAAGCCAGAGAGUAAGCAGGGAAUGAGUGUUUUGGUUUUAACCCCAUAUAUGCUGGGUUUAAUGUGGGGAAACUGAUAUCAGGGUCGGUAUCAUUACUCUAUGAGGAAACUUGGGAAAGUGCCCUUAAGUAAACAACAAUGACGUACUGCAAAUUCUUUACUUAACAAUAACUAAAAUAUGCUUUGCUUUCCGUUGGUUUAAUUAGUUAAAUUCUUAUCAGAAGGAUGUUCUUGUAUAAACGUAACGAUGCUCAGAAACGCUUGUUGAAUUGUGUCUUUCAGUUCAAUAGGAGUUUGACUGAAUCACCUAUGUGAAUUAGCUCUCUAAGCCGAUCUAACCACCAUUUCUUAAAUUUGCACUGAUAAAGGGAUAUAGAGGAAGAGAAGACUAUUCUCUGAAAGGAAAUGGAGCAGAGAUCUGUAGAAAUGCAAAACCCCACAGACAUAUCCAUGAUGGUUCUGUUUUCUAAGACGAGUGUGGAGAAGUGAUUACUAAAAGAACCACACUGGAGUCCACUUGGUCCUCUCUUGGUCUCUACCCAUUUUACGUCAGAAUACGACUACAACAAACUGUCAUACUUGGAGACAAUGAGAUACUUGGAUGACUGAUGAUGUCAUACCUGGAAAGGACACCACCCCAUUUUGGUCACACACCCACCUGAACCUUCGAGCAAACUACCCCAGGAUGGAACAGUUUCCGAGACAGCUUCGCCUUUGGACUUUGGAUUGAUGGUUGGGUUUCCUGAGAGGAAGCAUGUAGAGAUGGAUGAUUAUGUCUUGGAUUAAUUAAGGUAACUCUUCAAAAAUCAGUGACUUAAGACAACAUUAAGUUAGAAUCCAGUAUUCUAUGGGGGAGAGGACCAUUGGAAAGCGUAGUCCUGGCAGCAUGCAAGAACCCAGAUUGAUGAAGUCUUUGUAGUUAUACAGUGCAGCUUCCAAGAUUACUUAGGUUGUUGAUAUCUAGCCGUUAGAUGCAAGAAGAUAAAGAAAAGAGAGUGACACUCCUCUUCCAUUAGAUAGAGCUCAAUGACAAAGCCAAAGCCAACUGCAAAAGAAACUGGGAGAUGUAGUUUAGCUGUGUGCCCAGGAGGAGAGGGGAAAAUGCUUUGAUGAAGAGCUAGCUGGUCUCUGCCUCAUGCCUAGAAGGGCUACGGUUUUUGGCUUGUGGGUUUUGGUCAGAAAUACUUUAUGCUGCAAAUGUGAAUAUGUACCAGAGUCACGCAAAUAAUAAAGAGUGGUGAAACCAUCCA
rnacentral:lncRNA from 1 species